rnacentral:misc_RNA from 1 species
UAAACUGAUUUUCUUGGCAGAGACCUUAAACGAUGAGUUCAGGAAUUAACCAGUUCUCAAUACGCAAGAGCACGCAAGAGUGCACAGUAUUAGCGAAAUAAAAUGUUGGUGGUAAAGAAUACUGUUUUAGAUCGAACUCAUUGAUCGUUCGUCUAUGCGUAGUGUAGCCAUUCUGGCAAGGUUUAGACGGGUUGUGACGAAGACGAAACAAAAUUUGGAUAGAAUUGACAGGUAACGGUAAGAUCGAGUCAAAAUGUUAAGGCACCCGGUGAUAAAAUUAUCAACCGGAUUACAAAAUGGUAGACUUCUUGCCAUGGGAAUACAUACAACAUCCUGUAAGUUGCAACAGGAGUUAGUAGAAGUGUUCAUAGAUGAUAAACCAGUUCAAGUUCCACCUGGAACAACUGUUUUGCAGGCAGCUGCCAAAGUAGGAGUAGAGAUUCCUAGAUUUUGUUAUCAUGAACGACUAGCAGUUGCAGGAAAUUGUAGAAUGUGCCUUGUAGAGAUCGAAAAACAAGUUAAGCCUGUUGCAGCAUGCGCUAUGCCUGUAAUGAAAGGAUGGAGGGUGAAGACAAAUUCUGAUUUAACGCGUAAAGCUCGGGAAGGGGUCAUGGAGUUUUUGUUAGUUAAUCACCCUUUAGAUUGUCCAAUUUGUGAUCAGGGUGGUGAAUGCGAUUUGCAAGAUCAAAGUAUGGCAUUUGGUAGCGACCGAAGUAGAUUCGUCGAUAUUAAUUAUAGUGGUAAAAGAGCAGUAGAGGACAAAGAUAUUGGACCACUGAUAAAAACAGUCAUGACACGUUGUAUCCAUUGUACAAGAUGUAUUCGUUUUGCUUCCGAAGUAGCUGGUAUCGACGAUUUGGGAACUACGGGUCGUGGAAAUGAUAUGCAAGUAGGAACGUAUGUGGAAAAGAUGUUUUUGUCAGAAUUAUCUGGUAAUAUCAUUGACUUAUGUCCUGUUGGUGCGUUAACGAGUAAACCGUAUGCUUUCGUUGCUCGUCCAUGGGAAACGCGUCGUACAGAUAGCAUCGAUGUUCUUGAUGCUGUUGGUAGUAAUAUAGUAAUAUCUCAUAGAACGGGUGAAGUUUUGAGAAUUUUACCAAGAGUUAACGAGGAAAUAAAUGAAGAAUGGCUAUCAGAUAAGGCACGUUUCUCUUACGAUGGACUCAAACGUCAAAGACUCAUAACUCCUAUGAUAAAAGUCAAUGGAAAAUUGGAUGCUGUUAAUUGGGAAGAUGCUCUUCUAACGGUUGCGCAAGCUGUCCAGGGCAUUUCAUCGAAUAAAUGUGCCGCUAUCGCUGGGAAAUUAGCUGAUGCCGAAGCUCUUGUUGCAUUGAAAGAUCUAGUAAAUAGACUUGGCGGUGAAACUCUUGCAACGGAACAAAGUUUUCCAAAAAAUUUUGGAGACAUUAGAAGCAAUUAUUUAUUAAAUAAUACGAUCGCUGCUAUAGAAGAAGCCGAUGUCGUACUAUUAAUCGGUACAAAUCCGAGAUACGAAGCGCCAUUAGUGAAUACACGUUUGCGGAAGGGAUAUAUUCAUGGCGAACAAACUAUUGCCCUAAUCGGCCCGGACGUAGAUUUAACGUAUGAUCACGAACAUUUAGGUAAAUCCCCAGAAAUUAUAACGCAAUUAAGGAAUGGUACUCAUUCAUUUUCGAAUACUUUGAAAACUGCUAAGAAACCUCUAAUUAUCCUCGGUAUCGAACAAUUAAGUAGAAAAGACGGAGCGAAAAUUUUAUGCGAAACACAAUUAUUGGCACAGACUUUAGGAGAUAAAUCAAAGACUCCGGAGGAAUGGAAAGUAUUAAAUAUACUUCACACGAAUGCGUCGCAAGUAGCAGCUUUGGAUAUAGGUUAUACGUCGUCUGUCGAUGAAAUUAAACAGCAACAGCCAAAUGUUUUAUUUUUACUUGGAGCUGAUGAUGCAAACAUAAAAAGACAAGAUUUUGCCAACACUGUUAUCGUAUACAUAGGAAGUCACGGUGACGAGGGAGCUGCGAUCGCUGAUGUUAUACUUCCUGGAGCUGCGUACACUGAAAAAGUUGGAACGUACGUGAACACAGAAGGGCGCGCACAACAAACUUGCGCGGCGAAUACGCCGCCGGGUAUGGCGCGACCAGAUUGGAAGAUCAUCCGAGCUCUUUCAGAAAUUUGCGGAGUUUGUUUGCCUUAUGACAAUUUGAUGGAAAUUAGAGGAAGGCUUGAAGAAAUUGCACCGCAUUUAGUUAGAUAUGGUAACGUAGAACCAGCUAAUUACUUUGUUCAGGCGUUGGAGUUAUCCAAGGACACGGAUGGUUCACUGUCGUCAAAUCCAUUAGAAAUCAAACAGAAAACAUUAGAUCAAUUUUUCAUGACAGACGUAAUAUCUCGAGCUUCUCUUACUAUGGCAAAGUGUGUGCAAGCAGUCAUCAAACAACGAGAAAGUAAUUUGUAAAAAAUGAAUUACCAGUGUAUAUGAAAUUGUGUAAUGGUAGAUGUACAUACAUGUAACAGUAUAUGGGAAUACAUACAAUACUAGUUUAAUUACAGCUGGUUCGUAGAAUACAAUACUUUAUUAAAUUUAAUGUUUCGCGUGAUAAAAAUCAACAGCGAAGCGAUAUUGUCGUUAAUAAAAGUAUCCCUUAAAACAUACUGUAUUAUCAAUAUGCUUUUCUUUUUCAUCUAUAAUGCAGCUUAAAGAUUUUAUCGUCCCGUUGAAACUGUUUAUAUUGGUAUUUACAUUCAGUAUUUUUACGUUAGAAAACGUUGUACAUAGUUUUAACAACACAAUAAAGACAGCAUUUACAUCCUAA